rnacentral:rRNA from 1 species
UACGUAGGUGGCAAGCGUUGUCCGGAAUUACUGGGCGUAAAGCGCGCGUAGGCGGCCUUCUAAGUCGGACGUGAAAUCCCUCGGCUUAACCGAGGAACUGCGUCCGAUACUGAAAGGCUUGAAUCCGGGAGAGGGAUGUGGAAUUCCAGGUGUAGCGGUGAAAUGCGUAGAUAUCUGGAGGAACACCGGUGGCGAAGGCGGCAUCCUGGACCGGUAUUGACGCUGAGGCGCGAAAGCUAGGGGAGCAAACGGG